rnacentral:rRNA from 1 species
UUACACAUGCAAGUCGAGCGAUGAAGUUUCUUCGGAAAUGGAAUAGCGGCGAACGGGUGAGGAACACGUGAAGAAUCUGCCCUCCACUUUGGGAUAACACCGGGAAACCGAUGCUAAUACCGAAUAUUGAAACAUAAGUGGCAUCACUGAGUUUUGAAAGAAUUUUGGUGGAGGAUGACUUCGCGGCCUAUCAGCUAGUUGGUGAGGUAAUGGCUCACCAAGGCAACGACGGGUAGCCGGCCUGAGAGGGCGACCGGCCACACUGGGACUGAGACACGGCCCAGACUCCUACGGGAGGCAGCAGUGGGGAAUAUUGGACAAUUGGCGAAAGCCUGAUCCAGCCAUGCCGCGUGUGUGAAGAAGGCCUUCGGGUUGUAAAGCACUUUUGUAGGGGAAGAUAAUGACUGUACCCUAAGAAUAAGGUCCGGCUAACUUCGUGCCAGCAGCCGCGGUAAUACGAAGGGACCUAGCGUAGUUCGGAAUUACUGGGCGUAAAGCGCGCGUAGGCCGUUGAGUUAGUUAAUUGUGAAAUCCCAAAGCUUAACUUUGGAACUGCAAUUAAAACUGCUCGACUAGAGUUUGAUAGAGGAAAGCGGAAUACAUAGUGUAGAGGUGAAAUUCGUAGAUAUUAUGUAGAACACCAGUUGCGAAGGCGGCUUUCUGGAUCAACACUGACGCUGAGGCGCGAAAGUAUGGGUAGCAAAGAGGAUUAGAUACCCUCGUAGUCCAUACCAUAAACGAUGAUUGCUAGAUGUUGGAAAUUUAUUUUCAGUAUCGCAGCUAACGCAUUAAGCAA